rnacentral:tRNA from 1 species
GCCCCGGUAGCUCAGCUGGAUAGAGCGAUCCCCUCCUAAGGGAUAGGUCAGAGGUUCGACUCCUCUCCGGGGCGCCA